AUUGAACGCUGGCGGCAGGCCUAACACAUGCAAGUCGAACGAGUGGCGGACGGGUGAGUACUGUCUGGGAAACUGCCUGAUGGAUGGGGAUAACUACUGGAAACGGUAGCUAAUACCGCAUACCCUCAGAUGUGCCCAUAUGGGCUUGGCUUGUUGGGUGGGUAACGGCUCACCAAGGCGACGAUCCCUAGCUGGUCUGAGAGGAUGACCAGCCACACUGGAACUGAGACACGGGCCAGACUCCUACGGGAGGCAGGAGUGGGGAAUAUUGCACAAUGGGCGAAAGCCUGAUGCAGCCAUGACGCGUGUAUGAAGAAGGCCUUCGGGUUGUAAAGUACGUUCAGCGGGGAGGCGUUACCCGCAGAAGAAGCACCGGCGAACUCCGUGCCAGCAGCCGCGGUAAUUC
rnacentral:rRNA from 1 species